rnacentral:rRNA from 1 species
AUUGAACGCUGGCGGCAGGCCUAACACAUGCAAGUCGAGCGGAUGAGAGGAGCUUGCUCUUUGAUUCAGCGGCGGACGGGUGAGUAAUGCCUAGGAAUCUGCCUGGUAGGGGGGGACAACGUUUCGAAAGGAACGCUAAUACCGCAUACGUCCUACGAGAGAAAGUGGGGGAUCUUCGGACCUCACGCUAUCAGAUGAGCCUAGGUCGGAUUAGCUAGGUGGUGAGGUAAUGGCACACCAAGGCGACGAUCCGUAACUGGUCUGAGAGGAUGAUCAGUCACACUGGAACUGAGACACGGUCCAGACUCCUACGGGAGGCAGCAGUGGGGAAUAUUGGACAAUGGGCGAAAGCCUGAUCCAGCCAUGCCGCGUGUGUGAAGAAGGUCUUCGGAUUGUAAAGCACUUUAAGUUGGGAGGAAGGGCAUUAACCUAAUACGUUAGUGUUUUGACGUUACCAACAGAAUAAGCACCGGCUAACUUCGUGCCAGCCGCCGCAGUAA